AAAAAAUAAGUUAUCAGAGGAGUCUUGUCAAAUGCUACCUUAUUGAGGAAUAUUAAAUGUCUCUUGGCCAGAUUUCUCCUGACCCUGAAAUGAUGGCAUCAGCUGAAUAUGUGUCAACUCAACACAUGCUUUCUAGGAAUUUUCUGAGUUUACCAUAUUUAAAAAUGCCUUUUGUCUUGGAAUCUGAAAAAGAGGGGGAGGGGCAACGUGGACAGAAUUCUUCACAGAUGAAACUGGCUAGCUGAUCUUUUUUUGAACUUGGUGCUCCUGGAGCUGCUUUCUCCUUGAUAUGCCCAUGCUUACCUCUAGCAGUGGCUAUAAUUGGUUUCCAAGGGUUAAGGACAAAUAAGCUGUUAAAUUAUCAGUAGAUUAUACAGGAUUAGACUUUUACCCAUUAUGAAAUGCUAAAGGUGUAUGCAAUUUUUUUUUUUCUCAAGCAGAAAGGUUGAUGUGGUGCUACGAUCUCCAUUUUUUGCCAUGCCCAACAUGGUGUUAAUGUAAGAGAACUGCAUCAAUAAAGAUGACCUGGAGAAGCUGGCUCCAUAUGGGCUCAGAGGAAAGCCCCCUGUCUCUCAAAAUAGCACUUUGGCUGCUGGAGAUUUGUGCUUUUUCUAAGAAUCAGGCAGGAUUGUUUAGACUGCAAAGAGAAAAAGUUCUUGGAUUUCUUAAGGCCUAAUACUCUUGGGUUUGGAACAUGCAACUUGCUAAGUGGCACUAUUUCCUGUUUAUUUUGAGAGUUAACAAUUGCUAUUAACUAACAAAAGCCAUCUUUACUUCCAAAUGUGUGUUAAAAAUGUGUCUUUUACAUGUCUUGAGUUUUUCAGCACUGGAGAGGAGGGGUUAAUAAGCAGAAGUGUUUGGAAAUAAUCCCUUACUCAUUUGGAUUACUUGUAGAUUAGGGAGUAUUAUGCUGGAAGGUACACCUGGAAAAAGAGAACUUUGAGGACUGGUCUAAAAGGAGGGGGUUUUGUGGUUGUCCAAUGGAAAGCAAUGAUCCAUCCCCAAAAACCAAUAUAACUUGUGUUUCCAUUUAAUUUAUCUCUUAAAGAUAGCUACUAGUUUUCAACAUUUUUUUCAUGUAUGGUGCUCAUAUAUUUAGUUUUAAUUGCAUUUGUGUUCUGCAAUUGGAAUUCCAUUUUUUAAAAUGACCUUAGAACAACAUGGCAUCUAAGUUUCUUCAAAGAUCUUUGCAAAAGGAAAAACCCUUCUUUAGAAAAGUGCUUUCAAUUUGUGUUCAUUGCAGUGAUAAUAUAAUUGUUUAGCUUUUUUCAGAUCCAAGAUAUCAAUAGCAUGACAUAAAUGCAACCUAAAUGAUGCGUUUUUAAAAUGAUGCAUCUCUUUUAAAGUAUAUUUUUAUUUCGGAGGAUUCUCCUGUUAGAACUUAUUUUUCCUUGACUCUCCAUGUAAAAGCAGAUGCUUUAAAUAUUUCCUUUAAGAAUUUUGAUAACAUUGGCUUAAAAAUAAAAGCUGAAAUGUGUGUGUCCUUCCUGGCAGGUGGUAAAGUAAACGUAAGAAGCAUUUUUGUACAAUGUCUUUUCCUCUGAGUCUGUUUUCAUUCAUAAGGGAAACUUACGUAUUAGGUGGUAGAAGGCAUAAUAAACAUAUGAAACCAAACAGUUUUGAUUUAGUAUGAUUUUUUUACUUUCAGAUAAUUGGGAUCAAUAGAAAAGAGUAAGUUUCAGAUUUUCUUUUACGAAUAUCAAGCAAUUGCUUCUGGCCCUGUGCUCCAUCAGAAAUGUGAAUCCAUGAUACUUGCUUAAGCAAGUUUUGUUAAUUCCUAGUUGAAUCCCUUUAAGUGCCAAGAAAAAAAAAAAAAAAGCAUGUAAGCUCAGAGGGUGGGCCCAGCUCCUGGAAAGGCUUUUGGGGUUUGUUUUUACCCUGCUCUUGGGGUACUAGGGGAGCUAAGGGAUUCUGAGGAAAGCAAGAAAGCAAAGGAUUAAAUGGACAUCAACAUUUACCAAGGGUUUCCUGUGUUUGUAGGGUACACAUAAAUUAGAAGACAUGGUCUGGAGAAUGCUAUGGAUCAGAAUGCUUAAUUAUGAAUUUAAAACAAAUUUAGGGAUCCCGAGGAAGUAUUUGAAAAGAUAGAAAUGUUAAAAAAAAAUUUUUUUUUUUUUUAAGAAUACAAACCCAUCUAUCCAUUUGGAUUUCUCAGAGUGUAAGGUUGGUAUGCUUUAUUUCUCUUUCUGGUGGUUUUUGUUUUGUGCCUUCUCCUGGCACCCCUCCUAUUAAGGCCUACAAAAUACCUCUCUAACCCAUAUUCACUAGGGUUUACCCCUAACCCUCUCUUUCUGGAGAGAGAUAUCUCCAUACGCAUUUUCACUAUCAUUUGAAAGCUAAAGUGGAGGGGUGGGAAGAAAGCAUCGCCAGGCAUCUGCGUGGUGUUUCAGGCUCUGCCAAGUGUCUAUGGCCAUUCCCCUUUGCCCAGGAUAAAGCACAGAAUUCACAGGCUGCUCUUCAAGGCCCCGCAUAAAGGGUUUUAGCCCAACUUUCCAGUUCUUCCAAUUGCAGUAUAACCAAACUGCUCUUUCCUGAUAGACUGGAAUUCUUGAAGGACAGGAAUUAGGCAUUGAAUACUUCUCGUAUUCCCCAGUUUGCUUUCGCUCCUUCUUUUCACAUAAUAAAUGCUAAAUUCUUAUUUGUUGACUUAACAUUUACAUGGUUUCCAUGGGGCCCUAAGAACUUACAACAUGCAUUUGCAUUUUAUGCUGCCUGUGGUAAGUACCAGCGCUGGAUUGCAUGAAAACCUGAAUUAGAAUUCUGCCUCUGAAACCAACAAGCUGGAGGACCUGGGACAGAUUUCUCAGCCUCUUUAAGUUUCCGUGUUUUAAAUCGUCAUACAGAAAGAGGGCUAUCUAAUGUAGACAGCUGUCCUGAGAACAGAGUGAAGCGGAACUUGUGUGAUAUGUCAUAAUGCCUGGCCUACCCCAUGGGCUCCUUGAAUGCUAGAACCUGACCUUAUGGGUGGUUCUAAAAAGCUAAUGUAUGUAAAGCCUAACACAGUGCCAGCAACAUAGAAGAUGCUUUAAAUUCUAAAAAUAGGGAGCAAAGCAGCGAGGCCGGGGUCCGAACUGGGGUUCUGUGCCCGCUGGGCUGCUGCUCCAGCUGGACUAUCGCCAUGGAACUCAGCGCCGAAUACUUCAUGGAGAAGCUGCAGCGGGACCUGACGGCGGAGCAUGUGGCAGUGGAGGACACCACCACCCGCAGCCGUUGUGCCUGUAGCUUCCGAGUCCUGGCGGUGUCGGCCAAGUUCGAGCGCAAGUCCCUGCUUCAGAGACACCGGCUGGUGAACGCGUGCCUAGCAGAAGGGCUUCUGCACAUCAAUACCUUUGAACAGAAAACCCUGAUCCCAGAGCAGUGGGCCCGUGAGCGGUAGAAAUGAGGGACUGGGACUUGCACAGCCAUUAAAUUAUAAAUCUGGAAAAAAAAUUCUAAAAAUAAAUCUCCUGAAU